rnacentral:rRNA from 1 species
UUGACCUCAAAUCAGGUAGGACUACCCGCUGAACUUAAGCAUAUCAAUAAGCGGAGGAAAAGAAACUAACAAGGAUUCCCCUAGUAACUGCGAGUGAAGCGGGAAAAGCUCAAAUUUAAAAUCUGAGGGUUUUACGGCCUUCCGAGUUGUAAUCUAGAGAAGUGCUAUCCGCGCUGGACCGUGUACAAGUCUCCUGGAACGGAGCGUCAUAGAGGGUGAGAAUCCC